ACAAAUCUACGGCCACGGACGAAAAGGAUGGAUCGAUACGAUGGCAAUCGGGUACCUUCGAACAACGCAAAGGCCGAAAAGAAGCUCGACAAGCGAUAAUUCAACACAUGAGUAAAAGAGGUAGCAAAAAAUUUUCUUUUCAUAUUAUUCAUCAAAUAUACAUUAUAGAGCCAUUAAGGUUGAGGGAGAAGGAUAACUGAAAGGCGAGCCGAUGUGACAACUAUCGGUAACCUACGGACGACG
rnacentral:lncRNA from 1 species